GCUGGGCACGGUGGCUCAUGCCUGUAAUCCCAGCACUUUGGGAGGCCGAGGCGGGUGGAUCACCUGAGGUCAGGAGUUCGAGACCAGCCUGACCAACAUGGUGAAACCCUGUCUCUA
rnacentral:SRP_RNA from 1 species